CCUACGGGUGGCAGCAGUGAGGAAUAUUGGUCAAUGGCCGUAAGUCUGAACCAGCCAAGUCGCGUGAAGGAUGACGGCCCUAUGGGUUGUAAACUUCUUUUAUAGGGGAAUAAAGGUAUCCACGUGUGGAUUUUUGUAUGUACCCUAUGAAUAAGGAUCGGCUAACUCCGUGCCAGCAGCCGCGGUAAUACGGAGGAUCCGAGCGUUAUCCGGAUUUAUUGGGUUUAAAGGGAGCGUAGGUGGAUUGUUAAGUCAGUUGUGAAAGUUUGCGGCUCAACCGUAAAAUUGCAGUUGAAACUGGCAGUCUUGAGUACAGUAGAGGUAGGCGGAAUGCGUGGUGUAGCGGUGAAAUGCUUAGAUAUCACGAAGAACUCCGAUUGCGAAGGCAGUUCACUGGACUGCAACUGACACUGAGGCUCGAAAGUGUGGGUAUCAAACAGGAUUAGAUACCCUUGUAGUC
rnacentral:rRNA from 1 species